rnacentral:rRNA from 1 species
AAUAGAUACCCAGGUAGUCCUAGCCGUAAACGAUGAACACUAGGCGUAGUCGGUAUCGACCCCGGCUGUGCCGUAGCUAACGCAUUAAGUGUUCCGCCUGGGGAGUACGGCCGCAAGGCUAAAACUCAAAGGAAUUGACGGGGGCCCGCACAAGCAGCGGAGCGUGUGGUUUAAUUCGUCGCAACGCGAAGAACCUUACCAGGGCUUGACAUGUGGCGGAAAACGGCGGAAACGUCGUCCUCCCGCAAGGGACCGUCAUGCAGGUGUUGCAUGGCUAUCGUCAGCUCGUGUCGUGAGAUGUUGGGUUAAGUCCCGCAACGAGCGCAACCCCCGUGGCAUGUUGUAUCUCUCAUGCCAGACUGCCGAGAGAAACUCGGAGGAAGGUGGGGAUGACGCCAAGUCAGCAUGGCCCUUACGUCCUGGGCUACACACACGCUACAAUGGCCGGUACAACGGGUUGCCAAACCGCGAGGUGGAGCUAAUCCCUUAAAGCCGGUCUCAGUUCGGAUUGCAGGCUGCAACUCGCCUGCA